GACGAACGCUGGCGGCGUGCCUAACACAUGCAAGUCGAACGGAACUGUUUUGAAAGAUUUCUUCGGAAUGAAUUUGAUUUAGUUUAGUGGCGGACGGGUGAGUAACGCGUGAGUAACCUGCCUUCAAGAGGGGAAUAACAUUCUGAAAAGAAUGCUAAUACCGCAUGACAUAUCGGAACCACAUGGUUUUGAUAUCAAAGAUUUUAUCGCUUGAAGAUGGACUCGCGUCCGAUUAGUUAGUUGGUGAGGUAACGGCUCACCAAGACCGCGAUCGGUAGCCGGACUGGGAGGUUGAACGGCCACAUUGGGACUGAGACACGGCCCAGACUCCUACGGGAGGCAGCAGUGGGGGAUAUUGCGCAAUGGGGGCAACCCUGACGCAGCAACGCCGCGUGAAGGAGGAAGGUUUUCGGAUUGUAAACUUCUUUUAUUAAGGACGAAAAAUGACGGUACUUAAUGAAUAAGCACCGGCUAACUACGUG
rnacentral:rRNA from 1 species